UUAUCUUCAAUCUCUUGGCACGAUGGGACUGGCUGGUUUUGCAAAGACACAAGCAGGGCUGGCCUUGAUAGCAGUUGGUUGCAUAAUUCCAUGAGUAAUAACGGAAGAAGAUAAAUGAAUGAAACUGAUGAUUAUUCUUAUGACUGAUAGAGAAAAAUAUUUUUAGAAGUGUUAUACAGCAGGGGAUACUUUACUUUUUACAAGUAAUUUUUAAAUGUAUCUAAGGUGUUCUUCAUGCAGAGGCAUUAUAGUGUAUAGUUUCAGAGCUUUUUGUGUUUAAAAUUGAGUAACUCUGAACAAGAUCGUUGUUACAAGAUGACCAUUUUUUACAAGCUUGCAAUUGUUGACAAUGAUAUAAGUUUUUUACGUCCGUAAUAGUUUGGUAAUGCCGUUGUAAUGAAUAUCUGGCUCCAGUAUAACCUGCAUGUGGUAUUAUUGGUGUACAACAAUAACAUAAAACUGAGCAGUGUAACUUUUUCGCAGAAAUUUUUACUUGCUCUGAUCAGGAUUUGCGUUUUAAUAAUGCAACAGUCAUAUGCGC
rnacentral:lncRNA from 1 species